UACGUAGGGUGCGAGCGUAAUCGGAAUUACUGGGCGUAAAGCGUGCGCAGGCGGUUUUGUAAGCCAGGUGUGAAAUCCCCCGGGCUCAACCUGGGAAUGGCAUUUGGGACUGCAAGGCUUGGAGUGCGGCAGAGGAGACUGGAAUUCCUGGUGUAGCAGUGAAAUGCGUAGAUAUCAGGAGGAACACCGAUGGCGAAGGCAGGUCUCUGGGCUGACACUGACUCAUGCAC
rnacentral:rRNA from 1 species